rnacentral:lncRNA from 1 species
AGCGAGGUAAUGCCCCCUAGCUAGCGUGCUAUACGAUCCUAGUGGAGACGAGGCAUGGGUGAGCUUUUACCACGACAAAGCUAGGAGAGGACAACGCUGCGUCUGGCCUAACUGAAGCGUGCUUAAAAGCUACAGAGCCUUGGCUCCAAUAGGAGCUUAUCACAAGAGAACUAACGUGUGUCGUGUGACACCCCUUGUUUUGUCAAUGAGGAGAAGGCCUAAGAAUUAACAGGGACAGACAGGAGCACAAGGAAACAGUGAAACAAUAUUGGUCGGCCUGACAGGCCAUUGUCUUGAUUUUUGUAGGUCCCUCUGUUACCAAAUUGUUUCUGCCUUGAAUCUUACAGGCGUGCCGUGUGAUUUGGUAACACCAUUAAAACGGGUUGGGAUCAGCGCCACAGGCAAGGUCAAACCGUGUCUCAGAGCUGUGGGGGCCUUGGAGUGUUCUAACGGAGUCCCCCCUGCCAUGUGAUAAGGUUUUGCUAUGUAGACAGGACCGCAGAGAAGAACAAGCCGCACUUAAAGGGAAUCCUUUCUUCCUCUGGACAAAUGGUGACCUCCCAGCCUUCUUUCCCCAGUCACAACAAGCAACUGCUUUUUUCAGAAAAAGAGAGAAGAAGUCCAAUGGUUUGCGUCGCAUGGAUUUAUUUAAAAAGAAAAGCAUGUUCCCUGCUGAAAUGAUCCCGGGGAAAGCAGUUUCCUCUUGAAACAUAAUUUAAAAAACACCCUACCACCAUCCGAGCUGCAUCUGUGCGCCUCCUGCAUCUCCUUUGCACACGUGAUUCUUGUCGGGAAGGCAGGCAGCAAGGAAAUGACUCCAGAAUGCGAGUAGCUGCUCUGUAUGCGAGUGGCGAUGGACUUUCUUACCGUUGCCCCCUGGUUUUAGCAGGUAAAGUUCAUUUCCAACCUCAGCUCUUGGGCUCAAAGGGAAAUGCUCCAGCUUGACAUGCCCAGGCUACGGGUUGGAGUCACACAGCCCUGGAAGUCCUGUAGGUAGCGUUCCUGCCAGUCUGUCCCUCAUCAGCAACAUCACCCUAAGGAGGCUUC